GUGCGAGCUCUGCCUGUGCCGGUUCCGUAUCCCCGCCAUCCUGCGGCGCCACCUCGCCACGCACCGGCUACGGUUCGUGUGCCAGCACUGCGGCUUCACCGCCAGGGACAGGUCGCACGCCAUGACGCACUCUAAGGAGCACAGGGGGCUGCGCUACGAGUGCCCGUACUGCGGAGACACCUUCAAAAAGCGGUCAACGUACGGCACGCACGUCCGCAUCCAGCACCCCAACCAGAACAAGUCGUGCGACGUUUGCGGAGAAACGUUCCUCGGAGCACUCGGGCUCGCGCUACACAAGAAGAAGUCACACCGACAGGUAACUCCCUCGUCGACGGUAAC